UACGGAGGAUCCGAGCGUUAUCCGGAUUUAUUGGGUUUAAAGGGUGCGUAGGCGGGCCUUUAAGUCAGCGGUGAAAGUUUGACGCUCAACGUUAAAAUUGCCGUUGAUACUGAAGGCCUUGAGUACAUUUGAGGCAGGCGGAAUGUGGUGUGUAGCGGUGAAAUGCAUAGAUAUACCACAGAACACCGAUUGCGAAGGCAGCUUGCUAAACUGUAACUGACGCUGAUGCACGAAAGCGUGGGGAUCAAACAGG
rnacentral:rRNA from 1 species